rnacentral:rRNA from 1 species
UACGUAGGUGGCAAGCGUUGUCCGGAUUUACUGGGCGUAAAGAGCGCGCAGGCGGUCGUUCAAGUCGCGUGUGAAAGCCCCCGGCUCAACUGGGGAGGGUCACGCGAUACUGAUCGACUCGAAGGCAGGAGAGGGUAGUGGAAUUCCCGGUGUAGUGGUGAUAUGCGUAGAUAUCGGGAGGAACACCAGUGGCGAAGGCGGCUUUCUGGGCAUUUCCUGACGCUGAGACGCGAAAGCGUGGGGAGCAAACAGG